rnacentral:rRNA from 1 species
UACGAAGGGGGCUAGCGUUGCUCGGAAUUACUGGGCGUAAAGGGAGCGUAGGCGGAUAGUUUAGUCAGAGGUGAAAGCCCAGGGCUCAACCUUGGAAUUGCCUUUGAUACUGGCUAUCUUGAGUACGGAAGAGGUAUGUGGAACUCCGAGUGUAGAGGUGAAAUUCGUAGAUAUUCGGAAGAACACCAGUGGCGAAGGCGACUCACUGGCCCGAUACUGACGCUGAGGCGCGAAAGCGUGGGGAGCAAACAGG